ACUUGGGCAUGCCAGCAUGCUGGGAUCUCCGUUGCUGCCAGCUAACGUGGAUUUUCUUCUCUUAAGGUGUGGACAAAUCCUCCAAGAUUUAACUUCCAAGAAAACCGGCGGCGGAGCGGGUGGAGGAGGCGAGGAUGUGUGGCCAGUGCACGCGGAGUGCAAGGCCGCCUAGUUGGGAGCCGCAAGAGCCUGCCUGGUGUGGCAGGCACACGGAACCCAAUCCCUGUCUGUCCGCUGCGGCCUGGGAGGGGAGCGCCGGCCUCACCAGAGGAAGGAGCACGAGGGGAGGAGUUCCGAGAGGAAAUAAUUAGUGAAAUAUUUGCAGAAGAUGCUGGGAUGUGGAUUUAAUUCCGGAUGGACAGUGGUGCUUCUGAUUCCCUCAGUCUGUUUCCCCACCCACGAUCUCCUCUUUCCUUGGCCUAGACACACCAAAAAUAAUUCAAUAAAAUAAAAAUAAAAAUUUAAAAAUC
rnacentral:antisense_RNA from 1 species